rnacentral:pre_miRNA from 1 species
AUGUGUUUAUACGUUUGUAUUUGUGCAUGUGCAUGUAUAUGUGCAUGCUUGCAUGCAGAUAUGAUUAUAUAUUU